AGAGUUUCCAAACCUGGACAGUGGUGUGCGCUCAAGUGUCCCCUAUAAGGAACUCAAAAAAUUUCCAAAACAUUUUUGACUAGUUUUCGAGCUAUCGCUAGGUUUGUCCAGGAAGUCCUUAUUGUAGCGGUAAAAAAUAAAUUAUAGGGGAACCUUGAAUAAUGACCUUAUUUUCCAAAGAAACUAGCUGAGCUAGAGUUUCCAAACCUGGACAGUGGUGUGCGCUCAAGUGUCCCCUAUAAGGAACUCAAAAAAUUCCCAAAACAUUUUUGACUAGUUUUUGAGCUAUCGCUAGGUUUGUCCAGGAAGUCCUUAUUGUAGCAGUAAAAAAUAAAUUAUAGGGGGGCCUUGAAUUAUGACCUAAUUUUCCAAUGAAACUAGCUAAGCUAGAGUUUCCAAACCUGGACAGUGGCGUGCGCUCAAGUGUCCCCUAUAAGGAACUCAAAAAAUUUCCCAGACAUUUAUGACUAGUUUUUGAGCUAUCGCUAGGUUUGUCCAGGAAGUCCUUAUUGUAGCGGUAAAAAAUAAAUUAUAGGGGGACCUUGAAUUAUGACCCAAUUUUCCAAGGAAACUAGCUGAGCUAGAGUUUCCAAACCUAGACAGUGGCGUGCGCUCAAGUGUCCCCUAUAAGGAACUCAAAAAAUUUCCAAAACAUUUUUGACUAGUUUUCGAGCUAUCGCUAGGUUUGUCCAGGAAGUCCUUAUUGUAGCGGUAAAAAAUAAAUUAUAGGGGGACCUUGAAUUAUGACCCAAUUUUCCAAGGAAACUAGCUGAGCUAGAGUUUCCAAACCUAGACAGUGGCGUGCGCUCAAGUGUCCCCUAUAAGGAACUCAAAAAAUUUCCAAAACAUUUUUGACUAGUUUUUGAGCUAUCGCUAGGUUUGUCCAGGAAGUCCUUAUUGUAGCGGUAAAAAAUAAAUUAUAGGGGGACCUUGAAUUAUGACCCAAUUUUCCAAGGAAACUAGCUGAGCUAGAGUUUCCAAACCUAGACAGUGGCGUGCGCUCAAGUGUCCCCUAUAAGGAACUCAAAAAAUUUCCAAAACAUUUUUGACUAGUUUUUGAGCUAUCGCUAGGUUUGUCCAGGAAGUCCUUAUUGUAGCGAUAAAAAAUAAAUUAUAGGGGGACCUUGAAUUAUGACCUAAUUUUCCAAUGAAACUAGCUGAGCUAG